rnacentral:misc_RNA from 1 species
CAGCCCGGUAAUUCCAGCUCCAAUAGCGUAUAUUAAAGUUGUUGCAGUUAAAAAGCUCGUAGUUGAACUUCGGGAUCAAUUAGUUGGUCAUGCCUUGGUAUGUACUGAUUUUAUUGGUUCUCACCUUCUAAAGAACUAUAAUGUCAUUUAUUUGAUGUUAUAGGGAAUUAGGACUGUUACCUUGAAAAAAUUAGAGUGUUUAAAGCAGGCUCACGCUUGAAUACAUUAGCAUGGAAUAAUGAAAUAGGACAUCGCAUUCUAUUUUGUUGGUUUCUAGGAUCGAUGUAAUGAUUAAUAGGGAUAGUUGGGGGCAUUAGUAUUCAAUUGUCAGAGGUGAAAUUCUUGGAUUUAUUGAAGACUAACUACUGCGAAAGCAUUUGCCAAGGAUGUUUUCAUUAAUCAAGAACGAAAGUUAGGGGAUCGAAGACGAUCAGAUACCGUCGUAGUCUUAACCAUAAACUAUGCCGACUAGGGAUCGGAUGAUGUUGAUUUUUUAAUGACUCAUUCGGCACCUUACG